UACGUAGGGUGCGAGCGUUUAAUCGGAAUUACUGGGCGUAAAGCGUGCGCAGGCGGCUUGCCAAGUCAGAUGUGAAAGCCCCGGGCUCAACCCGGGAACUGCGUUUGAAACUGGCAGGCUAGAGUUUGGCAGAGGGGGGUGGAAUUCCACGUGGUAGCAGUGAAAUGCGUAGAGAUGUGGAGGAACACCGAUGGCGAAGGCAGCCCCCUGGGCCAAACUGACGCUCAGGCACGAAAGCGUGGGGAGCAACAGGAUAGAUACCUUGU
rnacentral:rRNA from 1 species